rnacentral:rRNA from 1 species
AGUGAACGCUGGCGGCAGGCCUAAUACAUGCAAGUCGAACGGCAGCACAGCAGAGCUUGCUCUGUGGGUGGCGAGUGGCGGACGGGUGAGGAAUACGUGGGAAUCUGCCCAGUCGUGGGGGAUAACGUAGGGAAACUUACGCUAAUACCGCAUGCGCCUUCGGGGAAAGCCGGGGACCGUUCGGCCGUGGCGCGAUUGGAUGAGCCCACGUCGGAUUAGCUAGUUGGCGGGGGUAAAGGGCCCACCAAGGCGACGAUCCGUAGCUGGUCUGAGAGGAUGAACAGCCACACUGGAACUGAGACACGGUCCAGACUCCUACGGGAGGCAGCAGUAGGGAAUAUUGGACAAAUGGGCGCAAGCCUGAUCCAGCCAUGCCGCGUGAGUGAAG